AGGGGGUGUGUAUCGAUCGUUAAAAAAAAGAUAAACAUCGAAUAUUAAAAUGACGAAUACAACUUCAAACAUCGUUACCAUUUUAAAAGAACAGAAUAUAGGACUGACUGUCGGGGUAUCAACUCUCCUCCUCAUAAGCUACUUGUUCAUGGCAUACAUAAUAUACCGUCCAUAUAAAGGUAGAGCCAAUGCCCCGCCCACCUCUCCAAGUCCAGUGUUGUAACAACUACUGAUCGAGGACAAUCGUAAAAUUUUAUUUGGUUCGACCAAACGUUUGAUUUCUAAUGACAUUUUAGAAAUUGAAAAGAGGAAUUCAGGAGCAGGAUGCCAACAUACCGAUACUCUUAAUUGAUGACGAUGAAGGAGUUGCUGUUAAUUAACAGCGAUCACGAUUUUUGUAACUUACUGACGGUCACUACAAUCAUAUACAUAUCUGUCGAUGUAUACGGUUGUUUAAUUAUAUAUUGCCAGGUGAUCAGUAACAUGCACAUUUUUUCACAAUUGAAGUCUUUAUUAUGGGAGUGAAUUAUGGUUUUAAAAAGCUUUGAACUUUCUUAAGAUACGGACCAAGGCCCCUUUCCAAUUUUUUUUCGACAAGCAAUCGCAGGUACUUGUUUCUGUAAUAAAUUUUUCAACCUAUUUUUAUUAUGGGUAUUUUUUUCCUUUGCCCCCCCCUCCCCAACCAACUUCAAAAGAUCUGUCUAAUGGAUUAAUCCAUUACCUUUUUUACUUAACUAAAGAGGAGAACGUAUAAUCGCAAAACAUAUAGGAUUCAUGAAUUGAUGUAAUGAUUAAAGGUUUAUAUGUGUGAUUUAAGAUUGAAUUGUUUAAGAUUAAUGAAAUGAAAUUCCAGAAAUUGUUUGUACAUGUUUAAUAUAUUGAAUUAAAAAUUAUAUAUAUUUUGAUGACAGUAGAAAUAAACAGUUUCCACCUGCA